UACGAAGGGGGCUAGCGUUGCUCGGAUUGACUGGGCGUAAAGGGCGCGUAGGCGGUUCGUACAGUCAGACGUGAAAUUCCUGGGCUCAACCUGGGGGCUGCGUUUGAUACGUGCGGACUUGAGUGCGGAAGAGGGUCGUGGAAUUCCCAGUGUAGAGGUGAAAUUCGUAGAUAUUGGGAAGAACACCGGUGGCGAAGGCGGCGAUCUGGGAAGAUACUGACGCUGAGGUGCGAAAGCGUGGGGAGCAAACAGG
rnacentral:rRNA from 1 species